GAUGAACGCUGGCGGCGUGCCUAAUACAUGCAAGUCGAGCGAACGGACGAGAAGCUUGCUUCUCUGAUGUUAGCGGCGGACGGGUGAGUAAUACGUGGAUAACCUACCUAUAAGACUGGGAUAACUUCGGGAAACCGGAGCUAAUACCGGAUGAUAUUUUGAACCGCAUGGUUCAAAAGUGAAAGACGGUCUUGCUGUCACUUAUAGAUGUAUCCGCGCUGCAUUAGCUAGUUGGUAAGGUAACGGCUCACCAAGGCAACGAUGCAUAGCCGACCUGAGAGGGGGAGCGGCCACGCGGGAGUUGAGACCCGGUCCGGAAUCGUACGGGAGGCAGCAGUAGGGCAUGUUCCGGAAGGGGCGAAAGCCUCACGGAGCAAGGCAGCGCGAGUCAUGAAGGCCUUCGGAGCGUAAACCGCUGUUAUUAGGGAAGAAGAUAUGUGUAAGUAACUGUGCACAUCUGGAGGGUACCUAAUAAGAAAGCCACGGCUACCUACGG
rnacentral:rRNA from 1 species